rnacentral:rRNA from 1 species
CAGCCGCCACGGUAAUACGAGGGGGCUAGCGUUGCUCGGAAUGACUGGGCGUAAAGGGCGCGUAGGCGGAUUGUUUAGUUAGGCGUGAAAUUCCUGGGCUUAACCUGGGGACUGCGCUUAAUACAGGCAGUCUAGGGUGAGGAAGAGGGUUGUGGAAUUCCCAGUGUAGAGGUGAAAUUCGUAGAUAUUGGGAAGAACACCGGUGGCGAAGGCGGCAACCUGGUCCUUGACUGACGCUGAGGCGCGAAAGCGUGGGGAGCAAACAGGAUUAGAUACCCCCGUAGUCCCUGUCUCUUAUACA